rnacentral:rRNA from 2 species
AGAGUUUGAUCAUGGCUCAGAUUGAACGCUGGCGGCAGGCCUAACACAUGCAAGUCGAGCGGUAGCACAGAGAGCUUGCUCUCGGGUGACGAGCGGCGGACGGGUGAGUAAUGUCUGGGAAACUGCCUGAUGGAGGGGGAUAACUACUGGAAACGGUAGCUAAUACCGCAUAACGUCGCAAGACCAAAGUGGGGGACCUUCGGGCCUCAUGCCAUCAGAUGUGCCCAGAUGGGAUUAGCUAGUAGGUGGGGUAACGGCUCACCUAGGCGACGAUCCCUAGCUGGUCUGAGAGGAUGACCAGCCACACUGGAACUGAGACACGGUCCAGACUCCUACGGGAGGCAGCAGUGGGGAAUAUUGCACAAUGGGCGCAAGCCUGAUGCAGCCAUGCCGCGUGUGUGAAGAAGGCCUUCGGGUUGUAAAGCACUUUCAGCGGGGAGGAAGGCGUUAAGGUUAAUAACCUUGGCGAUUGACGUUACCCGCAGAAGAAGCACCGGCUAACUCCGUGCCAGCAGCCGCGGUAAUACGGAGGGUGCAAGCGUUAAUCGGAAUUACUGGGCGUAAAGCGCACGCAGGCGGUCUGUCAAGUCGGAUGUGAAAUCCCCGGGCUCAACCUGGGAACUGCAUUCGAAACUGGCAGGCUAGAGUCUUGUAGAGGGGGGUAGAAUUCCAGGUGUAGCGGUGAAAUGCGUAGAGAUCUGGAGGAAUACCGGUGGCGAAGGCGGCCCCCUGGACAAAGACUGACGCUCAGGUGCGAAAGCGUGGGGAGCAAACAGGAUUAGAUACCCUGGUAGUCCACGCCGUAAACGAUGUCGAUUUGGAGGUUGUGCCCUUGAGGCGUGGCUUCCGGAGCUAACGCGUUAAAUCGACCGCCUGGGGAGUACGGCCGCAAGGUUAAAACUCAAAUGAAUUGACGGGGGCCCGCACAAGCGGUGGAGCAUGUGGUUUAAUUCGAUGCAACGCGAAGAACCUUACCUGGUCUUGACAUCCACAGAACUUNUUGGUGCCUUCGGGAACUGUGAGACAGGUGCUGCAUGGCUGUCGUCAGCUCGUGUUGUGAAAUGUUGGGUUAAGUCCCGCAACGAGCGCAACCCUUAUCCUUUGUUGCCAGCGGUCCGGCCGGGAACUCAAAGGAGACUGCCAGUGAUAAACUGGAGGAAGGUGGGGAUGACGUCAAGUCAUCAUGGCCCUUACGACCAGGGCUACACACGUGCUACAAUGGCAUAUACAAAGAGAAGCGACCUCGCGAGAGCAAGCGGACCUCAUAAAGUAUGUCGUAGUCCGGAUUGGAGUCUGCAACUCGACUCCAUGAAGUCGGAAUCGCUAGUAAUCGUAGAUCAGAAUGCUACGGUGAAUACGUUCCCGGGCCUUGUACACACCGCCCGUCACACCAUGGGAGUGGGUUGCAAAAGAAGUAGGUAGCUUAACCUUCGGGAGGGCGCUUACCACUUUGUGAUUCAUGACUGGGGUGAAGUCGUAACAAGGUAACCGUAGGGGAACCUGCGGUUG